rnacentral:piRNA from 1 species
CUAAGAUAGCCACAGUUGGUC